rnacentral:rRNA from 1 species
UACGUAGGGUCCGAGCGUUGCCCGGAGUUACUGGGCGUAAAGCGCGCGCAGGCGGCGGUGCUGGCCCGGCGUGAAAGCCCCCGGCUCAACCGGGGGAGGGUCGUCGGGGACCGCACCGCUUGAGGGCGGUAGGGGCUGGUGGAAUGCCUGGUGUAGUGGUGAAAUGCGUAGAGAUCUGGAGGAACACCCGUGGCGAAGGCGGCGCCCUGGUCCGUUUCUGACGCCGAGACGCGAAAGCGCGGGGAGCGAACGGGG